AUACAUUUCUCAGCCUUUGGACUAAGAUAAUAUGUAAUAUUUGUUCUUAUCAGUUUAAUAUCUAACAUGGGGACCAUAUGUUCACUCUGAUAUCAAAAUUUAUUUUUUUAUCUUGUAGUAUCAAAUAUGAUUAUAUGGUGUCACAACACACGUACAUUAU
rnacentral:snRNA from 1 species